AAGUCGUAACAAGGUAACCGUAGGUGAACCUGCGGUUGGAUCAUUACAAAAUGUGAUUCCUUGGUGUCGAGGCCUUCGGGCUUCCGCCGGGAUACCAACCCUUUGUGCACUGUAUUGUUUUUGGGUGCUUCGAAGAGUGAGCAAUCAUUCGAGGAGCGCCCAGUCUAGUUAAACCUCUUAAUCUUUGACUUAUCCUAUAAUGUAAAUUAUAAACAACUUUUGACAAUGGAUCUCUUGGCUCUC
rnacentral:misc_RNA from 1 species